rnacentral:rRNA from 1 species
UACGUAGGGGGCAAGCGUUGUCCGGAAUCAUUGGGCGUAAAGCGCGUGUAGGCGGUUCGGUAAGUCUGCUGUGAAAGUCCAGGGCUCAACCCUGGGAUGCCGGUGGAUACUGUCGAACUAGAGUACGGAAGAGGCGAGUGGAAUUCCCGGUGUAGCGGUGAAAUGCGCAGAUAUCGGGAGGAACACCAAUUGCGAAGGCAGCUCGCUGGGACGUCACUGACGCUGAGACGCGAAAGCGUGGGGAGCAAACAGGG